AGAGUUUGAUUCUGGCUCAGAGCAAACGUUGGCGGCGGGGCUUAGACAUGCAAGUCGAGCGGUAAGGUCCCUUCGGGGAUACACGAGCGGCGAACGGGAGAGUAAUACCUGGACAACCUACCUCGCAAUCGGGGAUAGCCACUGGAAACGGUGGGUAAUACCCGAUGGUCCGAGCGGGUCACAUGACCUGCCCGGUAAAGGUGAUUCCGUUGCGGGACGGGCCCAGGCCCCAUUAGCUUGUUGGUGUGGUAACGGCGCACCAAGGCGACGAUGGGUAGCGGGCCUGAGAGGGUGAUCCGCCUCACUGGGACUGAGACACUGCCCAGACUCCUACGGGAGGCUGCAGUCACGAAUCAUUGGCAAUGUACGCAAGUAUGACCAUGCCACGCCGCGUGGGCGAUGAAGGCCUUCGGGUUGUAAAGCCCUGUCAGGGGUAAGGAAAUGCACGGGUCCACUCGUGCUUGACGUUAGCCCCAGAGGAAGUCACGGCUAACUCCGUGCCAGCAGCCGCGGUAAGACGGAGGUGGCAAACGUUGCUCGGAAUCACUGGGCUUAAAGGGCGUGUAGGCGGCCGUCUAAGUCGGGUGUGAAAUCCCUCGGCUCAACCGAGGAACCGCAUCCGAUACUGGACAGCUAGAGUGCGGUAGGGGCAAGUGGAGCUCCAGGUGUAGCGGUGAAAUGCGUAGAUAUCUGGAGGAACGCCGGUGGCGAAAGCGACUUGCUGGCCCGCAACUGACGCUGAGGCGCGAAAGCUAGGGGAGCGAACGGGAUUAGAUACCCCGGUAGUCCUAGCCCUAAACGAUGAGCACUUGGCUGUGGUCCGUUCCACUGGAUCACAGCCGGAGCGAAAGUGAUAAGUGCUCCGCCUGGGGA
rnacentral:rRNA from 1 species